rnacentral:rRNA from 1 species
UCGGGAAUUUUGGGCAAUGGGCGAAAGCCUGACCCAGCAACGCCGCGUGAGGGAUGAAGGCCCUCGGGUCGUAAACCUCUGUCGGGAGGGAAGAACGGUUGACGUUCAAACAGGACGGCAGCCUGACGGUACCUCCAAAGGAAGCACCGGCUAACUCCGUGCCAGCAGCCGCGGUAAUACGGAGGGUGCAAGCGUUGUUCGGAAUCAUUGGGCGUAAAGCGCGUGUAGGCGGCUUGGCAAGUCGGUUGUGAAAGCCCGGGGCCCAACCCCGGAAUUGCAUCUGAAACUGCCUAGCUAGAGUCCCGGAGAGGAAGGCAGAAUUCCCGGUGUAGGGGUGAAAUCCGUAGAUAUCGGGAGGAAUACCAGCGGCGAAGGCGGCCUUCUGGACGGUGACUGACGCUGAGACGCGAAAGCGUGGGGAGCAAACAGG